rnacentral:rRNA from 1 species
CCUACGGGUGGCUGCAGUGAGGAAUAUUGGUCAAUGGACGAGAGUCUGAACCAGCCAAGUAGCGUGAAGGAUGACUGCCCUAUGGGUUGUAAACUUCUUUUAUAUGGGAAUAAAACGUGCCACGUGUGGGAUUUUGUAUGUACCAUAUGAAUAAGGAUCGGCUAACUCCGUGCCAGCAGCCGCGGUAAUACGGAGGAUCCGAGCGUUAUCCGGAUUUAUUGGGGUUCAAGGGAGCGUCGGGGGAUUGUUAAGUCAGUUGUGAAAUUUUGCGGCUCAACCGUCAAAUUGCCGUUGAAACUGGCAGUCUUGAGUACAUUAGAGGUGGGCGUACUUCGUGGUGUAGCGG